UACAGAGGGGGCAAGCGUUAUUCGGAAUUACUGGGCGUAAAGCGCGCGCAGGCGGCCCUUUAAGUCCGUCGGUCAAAUGCCGGGGCUCAACCCCGAGCGUGCCGAGGAUACUGGAGGGCUGGAGACACGUAGAGGCAAGCGGAAUUCCGGGUGUAGCGGUGGAAUGCGUAGAGAUCCGGAAGAACACCGGAGGCGAAGGCGGCUUGCUGGGCGUGAUCUGACGCUGAGGCGCGAAAGCGUGGGGAGCGAACAGG
rnacentral:rRNA from 1 species